GAUGAACGCUGGCGGCGUGCCUAAUACAUGCAAGUCGAGCGAACAGACGAGGAGCUUGCUCCUCUGACGUUAGCGGCGGACGGGUGAGUAACACGUGGAUAACCUACCUAUAAGACUGGGAUAACUUCAGGAAACCGGAGCUAAUACCGGAUAAUAUAUUGAACCGCAUGGUUCAAUAGUGAAAGACGGUUUUGCUGUCACUUAUAGAUGGAUCCGCGCCGCAUUAGCUAGUUGGUAAGGUAACGGCUUACCAAGGCAACGAUGCGUAGCCGACCUGAGAGGGUGAUCGGCCACACUGGAACUGAGGCACGGUCCAGACUCCUACGGGAGGCAGCAGUAGGGAAUCUUCCGCAAUGGGCGAAAGCCUGACGGAGCAACGCCGCGUGAGUGAUGAAGGUCUUCGGAUCGUAAAACUCUGUUAUUAGGGAAGAACAAAUGUGUAAGUAACUAUGCACGCCUUGACGGUACCUAAUCAGAAAGCCACGGCUAACUACGUG
rnacentral:rRNA from 1 species